rnacentral:rRNA from 1 species
UACGUAGGGCGCAAGCGUUGUCCGGAAUUAUUGGGCGCAAAGAGCUCGUAGGCGGUUUGUCGCGUCUGCUGUGAAAACCUAAGGCUCAACCUUGGGCUUGCAGUGGGUACGGGCAGACUAGAGUGCGGUAGGGGUGACUGGAAUUCCUGGUGUAGCGGUGGAAUGCGCAGAUAUCAGGAGGAACACCGAUGGCGAAGGCAGGUCACUGGGCCGCAACUGACGCUGAGGAGCGAAAGCAUGGGGAGCGAACAGG